rnacentral:rRNA from 1 species
AAGCAGCUUGCUGCUUUGCUGACGAGUGGCGGACGGGUGAGUAAUGUCUGGGAAACUGCCUGAUGGAGGGGGAUAACUACUGGAAACGGUAGCUAAUACCGCAUAACGUCGCAAGACCAAAGAGGGGGACCUUAGGGCCUCUUGCCAUCGGAUGUGCCCAGAUGGGAUUAGCUAGUAGGUGGGGUAACGGCUCACCUAGGCGACGAUCCCUAGCUGG